GACGAACGCUGGCGGCGUGCUUAACACAUGCAAGUCGAGCGGAGCGGCGCACGGGUGAGUAACGCGUGAGUAACUGCCCCCCUCUCUGGGAUAACAGAUGGAAACGGCUGCUAAUACCGGAUAGUGGGGGAUGCCUCGCGGCCUAUCAGCUUGUUGGUGGGGUAGUGGCCUACCAAGGCGACGACGGGUAGCCGGCCUGAGAGGGCGACCGGCCGCCUGAGGCUGAGGUACGGCCCAGACGCCUACGGGGGGCAGCAGUGGGGAAUAUUGCACAAUGGGGGAAACCGUGAUGCAGCGGCGCCGCGUGCGGGAUGACGGCCUUCGGGUUGUAAACCGCUUUCAGCCAUGACGCGGUAGUGGCAGAAGAAGCACCGGCUAACUACGUGCCAGCAGCCGCGGGAAUUC
rnacentral:rRNA from 1 species